rnacentral:misc_RNA from 1 species
UAUUUCCAUGUGGUGAAUAAUGACUACACUCAUUGGGAGAUGUAUGCAAUUGGAGGAAGUGCUUCUCCAACUAUCAAUAGUCAAGGCAAUAGAUUCCUUGCUCCUAAUGAUAUCUUCAACAAGGAGGUGACAAAACAUGAGGAUGCAGCAGAAAGUGAAUGGAAGAAUUGGAAUUGGAGAUCAGAAGGUGAUUUAAUGCUUAAUGGAGCAUUUUUCAUAAGAUCUGGUGCUGGAGCUUCUUCAAGUUAUGCAAAAGCAUCAAGUUUAAGUGCAAGGCCAUCUACUUUGGUUAAUUCUAUUACAAUGAAUGCUGGUGCACUUGGUUGCAAAAAGGGCAAAAGAUGUUGAUUAAUAUGUAUAUGAUUAUUAAUAAUUUUAAUUAGCACUAUAUGUUCUCUUUUUUAAGUGUAUUGUUGAGAAAUUGUGAAAUAUUAUAAUCUCUCAGUUAAUUAUAUACCAUGUAGUAUAUAUAAAAAAAAAUGGAUGAUGAAGGACAGGUUGAUGAGUUUGUAACUUGACUUCCCCUCUCAUUGUAAUGUUAUGUGAUAAUCAAGGAUCAAGUGUGAA